AAAAGCAUAACCAUGCCCCAUAAUUUCUCUCAACUUCUCACGGAUCGAGGGAGUUUGAGACCUCGCCGUAGACAGCGGGAAACGCGGGCGCGCGCGCGCAGCGCAGGUAAUGGCCGCCGCCGUCGUCGCGAUGCCGGUGGCGCUGGCCCUGCCGUCGGAGGCCGACCUGCCGUACGAGGAGGACGUCCUGCGGGACCCGCACAGCAUCCGCCCGUGGCGCCGCUACCUCGCUGCCCGCGCCGCCGCGCCCCUCCAGGAGCGCGCCGUCAUCUACGAGCGCGCCGUGCGCGCCCUCCCGGGCAGCUACAAGCUCUGGCACGCCUACCUCCUCGAGCGCACCGCCGCCGCCGCGCGCGCCAAGCCGCAUUGCGGGGAGCACCCGGCGAACGAGGCCCUGAACCGCGCCUUCGAGCGCGCGCUCGCCACGCUGCACCGCAUGCCGCGGAUAUGGGAGAUGUACCUCGCCGCGCUCCUCGAGCAGCGCCUCGUCACGCGCGCACGCCGCGCCUUCGACCGCGCGCUGCGCGCGCUCCCCGUCACGCAGCACCACCGCGUCUGGCCGCUCUACCUCCGCCUCGCCGCCCUCCCUUCCUGCCCCGCCGAGACCUCCAUCCGCAUCUACCGCCGGUUCCUCCAGUUCGAACCCUCCCGCGCCGACGAGCUCGUCGAGCUCCUCGUCUCCGCUGGGCGGUGGCAGGAGGCAGCCGAUCACAUUGUCUCGGUCCUCAACGGCGGAAGCGACGUCAGUGACAACAACCGUGCUCUCCUGCUCAAGCUGUGCGACCUUCUCGCCAAGCACGCCGACGAGGUCGCCGGGCUCAAGGUGGAGGCCGUGCUCCGCGGCGCCAUGCGCGAGUUUCCGGACGAGGCCGGAAGGCUGCGCGCGCUGCUCGCCGAGUGCUACGCACGAAGAGGGCUUUACGACAAAGCCAGAGACGUCUUCGAGGAAGGGGUGACCACGGCGGCCACCGCAGCUGAGUUCGCGCUGGUGUUCGAAGCGUACGCGCAGCUCGAGCAGAGCUUGGUCGCGGCGAAGAUGGAGAAGACGGCGGACGAGGAAGGCGACAAGCUCGUGACCGGUUGCUGGUUGGCCGACGGCGACGACGGCGACAUGUGCCUGGCGAGGCUGGAGCGGCUGCUCGACCGCCGGCAGGAGCUUCUCAACGGCGUCCUCCUGCGUCAGAACCCGCACGACGUCGCACAGUGGCACCGGCGGGUGAAGCUCUUCGACAAUGACCCCGCGCGGCAGGCGGCGACCUACGUCGAGGCCGUCAGGACCGUCGACCCGGCGAAGGCGACGGGCAAACCAAGCACGCUGUGAAGAUGUACGAGGCGCACGGCAACCUGGACAGCGCCGACGAGGUGUUCGCGAAGGCCACGCAGGCGAGCCACAGAUCGGCCGACGACCUGGCCACCGUGUGGUGCGAGUGGGCGGAGAUGCAGCUCCGGCACAAGCGCUUUGACAAGGCCAUCGCCCUGAUGCGACAAGCCACCGCGGAGCCCUCGGCCGAGGUGAAGCUGCGAGCCGCCGCCGCCGCCGCCGGCGACGACGAGCCUGCCCAGCUGAAGCUUCACAAGUCCGCAAAGCUGUGGAGCUUCUACGUCGACCUGGAGGAGAGCCUGGGCGCGCUGGCGUCGACGCGCGCCGCCUACGAGGGCGCCAUGGCCGCGCGCGCCGCGACGCCGCAGAUGGUGAUCAACUACGCCUCGUUCCUCGAGGAGCGCGGCUACUUCGAGGACUCGUUCGCGGCGUACGAGACGGGCGCCAAUCUGUUCGGCCACCCGCACAGCAAGCCCAUCUGGGACACCUACCUCGAGAGGUUCGUGGCGAGGCACGGCGGGAGCAAGGCCGAGCGCGCGCGGGAACUCUUCGCUGAGGCCACCCGCCGCGCUCCUCCCCACGACAGGGCGCGCCUCUUCCUGCGCCACGCCCGGUACGAGGAGGAGUUCGGCUCCGCCGCGCGCCAUGGCCGUCUACGACGAGGCGGCGCGGUCCGUGCCGGCGAGCGACAGGGCGAGCGUCUACGAGGCCUACGCGGGGCGGGCGGCCGAGCUCCGCGGCGUGCCGAAGGUGAGGCGGGUCUACGAGCAGGCGAUCGAGUCCGGCGGCCUCCCUCGCCGCGACGCCCUGGCGCUGUGCCUCCGCCUCGCCGCGCUCGAGGAAGCGCUGGGAGAGGCCGCCCGCGCUCGCGCCGUGUUCGUGCACGCGUCGGGCUACGGCGAUCCCGACGCCGACGAGGAGUUCUGGGCGAAGUGGAGCGGCUUCGAAGUCCGGCACGGCGACGAGCGCACCUUCACAGACAUGCUCCGGAUAAGGCGCACGCAGAAGCACGCGAAGACGCCUGGGGUUCAGGUGAAUGGCGAACUGAAAGAUGAGAAGAAGAAGAGAUGUGCUGAUCAGCUUGGCGCCACUCAGAGCAAGAGGCAGCGAGUGUAAUCUUGUCAAGCUUUUCUUCCUCUUUCUUUUUCCCCUUUAAUUCUGGCCCUAAAUGUAGUCUACUGUAGUAAAGAUUUCCCUGGUUUCAAUUUAAAUCAAAUUGUUUUGGGGGGAAGAAUAUGAUAUUGUACGUUCUAACGUUCCUUCAAAUAUGAUAUAUGCAUUUCACUUGUGAACGCGAGGCACUGAUUGGUUGGUCCAUUAUUAUGAAGUUUGGUUGUAUGAUGUCACACUAUCUUUUUUAAGUCCCUUGUAAAAUCUUUAUUUGGAUUCUUGUUCAGUUUAAAAAUGGGAAAAUGCCA